GGCGAAAGGGUGAGUAACACGUGGGCAAUCUACCUCAAAGUUGGGAAUAACCCGGGGAAACCUGGGAUAAUUCCGAAUGUGUCGCCUCCGGCAUCGGAGGCUGUCUAAAGUCGGGGACCGCAAGGCCUGACGCUAUGAGAUGAGCCCGCGUCCUAUCAGCUUGUUGGUGAGGUAACGGCUCACCAAGGCUUACGGGUAGCUGGUCUGGGAGGACGAUCAGCCACACUGGGACUGAGACACUGUCCAGACUCCUACGGGAGGCUGCAGUCGAGAAUCAUUCGCAAUGGGCGCAAGCCUGACGAUGCGACGCCGCGUGCAGGAUGAAGGCCUUCGGGUUGUAAACUGCUGUGAUGGGGGAUCAACGAGCGGGAUGUUAAUAACAUCUCGCAGUGAUAGUACCCCAAGAGGAAGCCACGGCUAACUCUGUGCCAGCAGCCGCGGUAAUACAGAGGUGGCAAGCGUUGUUCGGAUUUACUGGGCGUAAAGGGUGCGUAGGCGGUCUGAUGUGUCGGAUGUGAAAUCCCAUGGAUUAUCUGUGGAACUGCAUUCGAAACUGUUAGGCUUGAGUGUCGGAGAGGUGGGCGGAAUUCACGGUGUAGCAGUGAAAUGCGUUGAUAUUGUGAAGAACGCCGGAGGCGAAGGCGGCCCACUGGACGACAACUGACGCUGAGGCACGAAAGAUGGGGGAGCAAACAGGAUUAGAUACCCUGGUAGUCCCAUCCGUAAACGGUGUGCACUUGGUGUAGGAGGAAUUAUCCCCUUCUGUGCCGGAGCUAACGCGUUAAGUGCACCGCCUGGGGAGUACGGUCGCAAGACUAAAACUCAAAGAAAUUGACGGGGGCCCGCACAAGCGGUGGAGCAUGUGGCUUAAUUCGAUGCUACGCGAAGAACCUUACCUGGGCUUGACAUGCGGCUGGAUGCUGGGCGAAAGCCCGGAGGCCUUCGAGGCUGCCGCACAGGUGCUGCAUGGCUGUCGUCAGCUCGUGCCGUGAGGUGUUGGGUUAAGUCCCGCAACGAGCGCAACCCCUGUGGCUAGUUGCCCGCUGAAAGGCGGUACUCUAGCCAGACUGCCUGUGAUAAGCAGGAGGAAGGUGGGGAUGACGUCAAGUCAGUAUGGUCCUUAUGUCCAGGGCUGCACACGUGCUACAAUGAUCGGUACAGAAGGAUGCAAGACCGCGAGGUGGAGCUAAUCCCCAAAACCGAUCCCAGUUCAGAUUGCAGUCUGCAACUCGACUGCAUGAAGCCGGAAUCGCUAGUAAUGGCACAUCAGCUACGGUGCCGUGAAUACGUUCCCAGGCCUUGUACACACCGCCCGUCACAUCACGAAAGCCGAUUGCACCCGAAGUAGUUGACGCGACCCGCAAGGGACCUAGAUUCCUAAGGUGUGGUUGGUGAUUGGGAUGAAGUCGUAACAAGGUA
rnacentral:rRNA from 1 species